rnacentral:rRNA from 2 species
UGAUUCUGGCUCAGGACGAACGCUGGCGGUGGGGCAAUACAUGCAAGUCGAACGAGCUUCCGUUGAAUGACGUGUUUGCACUGAUUUCAACAAUGAAGCGAGUGGCGAACUGGUGAGUAACACGUGGGGAAUCUACCCAGAAGCAGGGGAUAACACUUGGAAACAGGUGCUAAUACCGUAUAACAACAAAAUCCGCAUGGAUUUUGUUUGAAAGGUGGCUUCGGCUAUCACUUCUGGAUGAUCCCGCGGCGUAUUAGUUAGUUGGUGAGGUAAAGGCCCACCAAGACGAUGAUACGUAGCCGACCUGAGAGGGUAAUCGGCCACAUUGGGACUGAGACACGGCCCAAACUCCUACGGGAGGCAGCAGUAGGGAAUCUUCCACAAUGGACGAAAGUCUGAUGGAGCAAUGCCGCGUGAGUGAAGAAGGGUUUCGGCUCGUAAAACUCUGUUGUUAAAGAAGAACACCUUUGAGAAUAACUGUUCAAGGGUUGACGGUAUUUAACCAGAAAGCCACGGCUAACUACGUGCCAGCAGCCGCGGUAAUACGUAGGUGGCAAGCGUUGUCCGGAUUUAUUGGGCGUAAAGCGAGCGCAGGCGGUUUUUUAAGUCUGAUGUGAAAGCCUUCGGCUUAACCGGAGAAGUGCAUCGGAAACUGGGAGACUUGAGUGCAGAAGAGGACAGUGGAACUCCAUGUGUAGCGGUGGAAUGCGUAGAUAUAUGGAAGAACACCAGUGGCGAAGCGGCUGUCUAGUCUGUAACUGACGCUGAGCUCGAAAGCAUGGGUAGCGAACAGGAUAGAUACCCUGUAGUCCAUGCCGUAAACGAUGAGUGCUAGUGUGGAGGNUUCCGCCCUUCAGUGCUGCAGCUACGCAUAGCACUCCGCCUGGGGAGUACGACGCAAG